AAACCCCUCUGCCAGCCAUCAUCACCACCAACCGACCACCACCCAAUAAUCAUAGAGAGGGACAUGUGAGAGGGAAGACCACCGGCGGCUGCUGGCCGGUGUAAGGCGGUGCAAGCGGUGUUUGACGAUGGUACGGUGGCGGCGCUCGACGAACCGGUGUACGACAGCACGAGUGGCGUUCGAAGAUGCAAAAUAAAUGCCAGCCGUCACCACCGUUCAACAACGCCCAAUAUCGAUGAGAAUGAUUAGAUGCAAUGAGGCUCCGUACACUAUCUUGCCGCCGGCAAGAAAGUCGUUCUUUUUGGUAUCCCCGGGGGCUUCACUUUCACUUACAGGUGCUUAGAGAAAAGUAACAAGAUUUGCUUUAGAUUAUUGUUACAAAUGGUUAGGUCAGAUCAGUCAAUAACGAGUAAGGUUGUUGGUGUAAGGAUUAAAGACGAGACUGAAGAGGGGAAGUUGUGAAAAUCCAGAUUGGCCGUCUGGCGGUGAGUGGAACAGCGUCUAAAAUAGGGAAAUUAACUUUGAAUAUGACGGAAAUGGAAACAGUGUACGAUCUUUGGGCUAGGAUGAUUGAAGCUUUGGGGAAGGACAAAGUUCAGAGUGGCGAUGUGAUUGCAAUUGAUAAGGCUUCGGGGAAGAUAAUGGAACUUGGGAGGUCGUUUUCGGGGUCUGGAGAUUAUAUGGUGCAAUGGGGCUGCAAACGAAGUUCGUGCAAUGUCUUGAUGUUGAGCUAUAGAAUAGGAAAGAGGUGGUCCAUUGCGUUACACUUCAUGAAAUUGAUGUUAUUAAUAGGAGGUGUAUGGUUUCCAUUAUUCAAAGAAGAGAACUCGAUAAUACCGAGAUUCGAAUUCAGUUUUCGUGUUUCCAAAUCCAACCUUCAAAUCGUGUAAGCAUGGACGCGUAUUUCGAACGGUCUUUGAAUCUGAGAGAGAGAAACAAUGCCAGGAGUUUUUGUCCUGUUGUUUCUCGGACUUUUUGGCCUUCCAUGGCGGCGACAGGUCUGAGUAAUGCUUUCUAUCUAUCUCUUUUUGGAAUAUGAUUAAUCAAAAUUUGGUAAAUGGUUGUUUCGAUCUCUGUAAUAAUUGAAUGAGAACGCUGGUGGUUGGUUUUAGUUUAGGAUGAGGAAUAAAUGUCUUUUUGAAGUACUAUGGCAUUACCAUAUUACCUUAACAUGUAUUUGCAGCAAAUGAGCCGUUUGAGAAGGUGGUCAGUUAUGGGUUGGUGCCAUUUAUGAAUCUUUUUUGGCAAGUUUUCUACAAGUUUUCUUUGCGGUUUACUUCCUCCUAUUCGUUCAGGGGUUUUGAGACUCUGGAGUCUAGUUAAUGCAUCAAGGAGUAUCAACAUAUUUAUUGCUUAUUCUGGUUCGGUGGUAUAAUUCUCUUUACAAGCGUUAGCAAAGAGCUUUAUAAAUUACCAGGAUCGUUGAAAGGAUUAUGAAUACAAGAAUUACGCCUUUUUGUUACUUCUUGGCCAGUACUGUUCGUUGUUGCGGGUAUUGUUCUAAUUAUAUACUUUGUGUGUUUUUUAGUUUAUACACUUUGGUACUAUCAAAACUGCAUUUUUAACCGGUCUAUAUAAGCCUGAAUUUGAUUGAUUAACAUUACAAAUAGACUUGAUAAACUUCUGCGCUUGGUUACUGAUUUGGCUGUGAUAAUUACACUUUUUUUGUUUUUUUCUUAACAUUAUUCUCAGACUGUUGAGUCACAAAGGUUCACUUUUUGCAACGUUUACACGACAUAGGUUGAUACGAAACGAUCAUUUGAUUGGUACGGUACUUCCGCCACAACGUGUGCUUCAUCACUGAAUCGUUACGCCGUUAAACUUGGAAGAGUUCAUUUUCGGUUAAUUUAUUGGGUUUGUCUGACAAGCGCUGCAACGCGACGAGGGAUAAAACCUAGUUGAUUUAAUAUAUGGCCAAGAAAUUAACUCACAUGGUGGGUUGAUUGAUUCAAGUUUUGGUUUAAAUAAAAUAACAAAUGUAACCGAAGUAAAAAAUGGAGGUGGUCAACAUGGAUUAUCCAACAUUGUGAUUGGGUCGUCGCUUAAGCCCAAUGGCGGUAAAGUCUCGGGAGAUCACAAACAAAUUAAAAGGGGUGGUUGGGCUUUUGGUGUGGAGACUUUAAGAAUGGAAUUAAAGCAAUCUAACAUUCCUUUCGAUCCAGGUUCAGAAACAAAACUUGAGGACGCAUGUUUUCCUAGGAGGGGGAGAAUGAUGCGGGUGACGAUCCAGAUUCGGAACCCAUCCCCGAAUGGAUUCCAAUGGGAUCCAGGUUGUAGAUCAUCUAAAGAUUUGAAUAAUAUUUGAUUCCAUAAUUAUCGAGUCUAUUAUUAAUUAUUGUAUCUUUUAUUUAUUUAGUUAAUUCAUGUUUAUCUCUAAGGUUGUUAUGGUGUAAUUUAAAUAGUGGUCUUGGUCGAAUGUUUAUAAUUGAAUUCUAAUUGAAAAAGAAUUGUGUUCUUUGAACCUUUGGUUCAUAUUAUCGGUCUUUGAUUACUAAUUAUUCUUGAGCCAUUUGAAUGCUUCUGAAUCUAGA